rnacentral:rRNA from 1 species
UAGGGAAUCUUCGGCAAUGGACGAAAGUCUGACCGAGCAACGCCGCGUGAGUGAAGAAGGUUUUCGGAUCGUAAAACUCUGUUGUUAGAGAAGAACAAGGACGUUAGUAACUGAACGUCCCCUGACGGUAUCUAACCAGAAAGCCACGGCUAACUACGUGCCAGCAGCCGCGGUAAUACGUAGGUGGCAAGCGUUGUCCGGAUUUAUUGGGCGUAAAGCGAGCGCAGGCGGUUUCUUAAGUCUGAUGUGAAAGCCCCCGGCUCAACCGGGGAGGGUCAUUGGAAACUGGGAGACUUGAGUGCAGAAGAGGAGAGUUGAAUUCCAGGUGGAGCGGUGAAAUGCGUAGAUAUAGGGAGGAACACCAGUGGCGAAGGCGGCUCUCUGGUCUGUAACUGACGCUGAGGCUCGAAAGCGUGGGGAGCAAACAGG